rnacentral:rRNA from 1 species
UACGUAGGGGGCAAGCGUUGUCCGGAAUCAUUGGGCGUAAAGAGCGUGUAGGCGGCCUGGUAAGUCCGCUGUGAAAAUCCAGGGCUCAACCCUGGAAUGCCGGUGGAAACUGUCAGGCUCGAGUCCGGAAGAGGCGAGUGGAAUUCCUGGUGUAGCGGUGAAAUGCGCAGAUAUCAGGAGGAACACCAAUGGCGAAGGCAGCUCGCUGGGACGGUACUGACGCUGAGACGCGAAAGCGUGGGGAGCAAACAGG